rnacentral:rRNA from 1 species
CCUACGGGCGGCAGCAGUAGGGAAUAUUGCUCAAUGGGGGAAACCCUGAAGCAGCCACGCCGCGUGGAGGAUGAAGGUUUUCGGAUUGUAAACUCCUUUUGUUAGAGAAGAAAAUGACGGUAUCUAACGAAUAAGCACCGGCUAACUCCGUGCCAGCAGCCGCGGUAAUACGGAGGGGGCAAGCGUUACUCGGAAUCACUGGGCGUAAAGAGCGCGUAGGCGGGAUAGCAAGUCAGAUGUGAAAUCCUUUGGCUUAACCCUAGAACUGCAUUUGAAACUGUUAGUCUAGAGUGUGGGAGAGGUAGGUGGAAUGCUUGGUGUAGGGGUGAAAUCCGUAGAGAUCAAGAGGAAUACUCAUUGCGAAGGCGACCUGCUAGAACAUAACUGACGCUGAUGCGCGAAAGCGUGGGGAGCAAACAGGAUUAGAUACCCGAGUAGUC